UAGUUUCUCAGGGCCAUUUGAGCUUUGAAGACUAAGGUCAGUAAGUUUAGGUUUUUGGCUAUGAUUUUGGUGCAAGUUUUGUAUGGUUUGGAGUUUAUAUGAAGGAGAUACAAGUGCUCAAAGUUAAGGUGUUGAUUUGGAAGCUAUUGUCACUCUUUUUGGCAUAACGCAUGCGUACAGAUAGAAAUUGAGGAAUUUUGAUUGCGAUUGAAGAGAGUACUUUUGCGGCUAAACUUUUCACAUAUUGCUUACUGGAUUCCAAGUUACAAUGAAGGAGUUAUUGGAUUUUGAAGUCAACACAUGUAAUCUAAGGGUAGUAAGUGACCCGAUUUACUAGUGGUUGUAUCUUGAGCAAUAUCAUGAGCAAUUCGAUAAGGUUUUGGCUUAAAAUUUUAGAAAAUGUGUAAUUUCAUGUUUGUAAACUUUGUACAUAAGUUUUAUAAUACUUGAGUAUUGGAUUCUUGAGAUA
rnacentral:lncRNA from 1 species